UUGCUUUUUAUUUAAUCAUAGACUUAGACAGAAGACACGAUUCAUUCAGAAUGUUAAGUGUUUGGCUAUCGGCGGACGCUGGCCAGAGGACGCCUUUCAGCGGUCCUCCGGCGGUCGUGAGACGGGUCCGCCGAAGCAACAGAGGUUCGAUAAACAAAGGGUUGGGAGGUCGGGCCUAGAAGACCCUAACUCGUUAAUGAUCCUUCCGCAGGUUCACCUACGGAAA
rnacentral:misc_RNA from 1 species